AACGCACAUUGCGCCCGCUGGUAUUCCGGCGGGCAUGCCUGUUCGAGCGUCAUUAUGACCAAUCAAGCUCUGCUUGGCCUUGGGGCUCGCUGUACCGGCGGCCCUUAAAAUCAGUGGCGGUGCCGUCUGGCUCUAAGCGUAGUAACAUUUCUCGCUAUAGGGCUUAGGCGUCCACCCGCCAAAACACCCAACUUCUUAAGGUUGACCUCGGAUCAGGUAGGGAUACCCGCUGAACUUAA
rnacentral:misc_RNA from 1 species